AAAAGAGUCAUUGCAGUGGUGGGGUCAGCUAUUAACAUCUCUCUUUUCCUGGAAACCAGUUGAUGCCUAUAAGAGGGGUUUCCUCAGCUCUCUGAAUAACUUCAAUUUGUUCUUUUUGGGCCAAGCCCUGUGCUGCCUGGUCCUGCUGAUGAGAGUUCGGCUAGAGGGAGGGGUGGGGAGGGGCCUGAGCUGGGGGACCAGCAGGGGGGCAGCCUGCAGCCCUGAACCCUAAUCCUCGUCACUGUCCCUUCUCUGCCUCAUAAAGGUGUUCUUGCUCUUUCUCCUUUCUAGCCAAGUCUCCUCCCUCCACAUAUGUGUUCUCAUCUAGAUCAGUUUCGAUUCCCGCUGGUGGAAAGCAGCCUCAGGCAGGGCCACUGCGCAGGAAGGGCGGGCCUGGGUGCAGGCGGGGCUCCGGGAGUCACCCCCAGACGCGCGGCUCCCCUUCCUUGUCCUCCGCAUGACGCCCGUGCCGGAGCCCACGUGAGCCUUUGCCAAGGAGAGAUUCAGAGAUAUGAGCAGAAAAACUGGAAGAUGGACUUCUUCAAUAAGGCAGCGGGACGGUUUGGCUGAUGGAAGAUGUUUCCCGGAAGCCUGUUCACGCUCCACCCUGAAAGUCCCAGGGCCGUGAGAGUCAGCCGGGCCGCCGAGGCGGUGCCCUCCAGGCUGCAGGAUGAUCCAGGGACUGUUUUCCUCAGCACUGUGUAGGUUUCAGCUUAUGAGUUCUGUCCAUGUUUUGUGAGAUUUAUAGCUAAGUAUUUACCUUUUCGAAUGAUUAUAAACAACAUAGUAGUUUUAAUUUUAGUGUCUACUUGUUUUUUGUUACUAUAUAGAAAUACAAUCGAUUUUCAUAUAUUUAUGUUGCAUCCUCUGUGCUUCUAAACUCACUAGUUUUGGAAGCUGUUUUUUGUUUUUAGAUUCCUUAAAAUUUUAUAUAUGGGCAAUCAUGUCAUUUAAUAAUCAACCUGUAUGCCUAAAAUAAUCAACCUGUAUGCCUAAAAUAAUCAACCUGUAUGCCUUUUAUUGUAAGAAAAUCCCUAAAUACUGGGAUUACAGGUGGUGAGCCACCGUGUCCAACCUGAAACUUUUUUUUUGGUGAUUUCAAAUGAACUUGACUUUUACUGUAAUUAUACCUAAAGUAUUUGUAAACAAUUGUUUAGAACUUCUAUUUGUCAUGGACUUUUGAGUUUAUUCUUUGGAUCAUAUAAAAAGACUUUUUUUUUUUGUUUUUAAAGUUAUAAAUCUCUGUAUGCACUUUGCUUUUCUUAAUUAAACAUAAUCCAAAGUAAGCUGUGACUCAUUUAUUUAUUUAUUUAUUUGAGACAGGGUGUCGCUUUGUCACCCAGGCUAUGGCUCCAUCUUGGCUCACUGCAGCCUCAACCUCCCAGGCUCAAGCAAUCUUCCCACCC
rnacentral:lncRNA from 1 species